AGCGAACGCUGGCGGCAGGCCUAACACAUGCAAGUCGAGCGCCCCGCAAGGGGAGCGGCAGACGGGAGAGUAACACGUGGGAACGUACCCUUUGGUUCGGAACAACCCAGGGAAACUUGGGCUAAUACCGGAUAAGCCCUUACGGGGAAAGAUUCAUCGCCGAAGGAUCGGCCCGCGUCUGAUUAGCUAGUUGGUGGGGUAACGGCCCACCAAGGCGACGAUCAGUAGCUGGUCUGAGAGGAUGAUCAGCCUCACUGGGACUGAGACACGGCCCAGACUCCUACGGGAGGCAGCAGUGGGGAAUAUUGGACAAUGGCGCAAGCCUGAUCCAGCCAUGCCGCGUGGGUGAUGAAGGCCCUAGGGUUGUAAAGCCCUUUCGGCGGGGAAGAUAAUGACGGUACCCGCAGAAGAAGCCCCGGCUAACUUCGUGCCAGCCGCCGCCGUAAAAC
rnacentral:rRNA from 1 species